AUAUAAAGAGCAAAAUAUUUUAUUGCCAUUACACUGAUGAAAUUGGAAAUACAUGCAGCCAAUAUAUCACAGUUUGUUUCAAAGGGUUUAUACAUCUUAUAUUAAUAUCUGUAAUUGGUGGGAUUACAAAAACCUGGGCCCACCCAUAAUGCAACAUUCACUUUCUCAGAAUGCACAUACAACCCACUCACUGACACAGAGAAAG